ACCCCCUGGCAAUAGGCAGAGAGACAACUUGGUGGUGGUGGUGUUCUUACAUCCGUCAGGGCCAGAGCAGAUGGCAGUCCUCUGUUCUUCCUAGCCUGAUGCCUGGCUUGGUGGCCAAAGCUGUCUUACGCCUAGGGCACUUAA